AUGAACGCUGGCGGCGUGCCUCAUACAUGCAAGUCGCGCGAACGGACGAGAAGCUUGCUUCUCUGAUGUUAGCGGCGGACGGGUGAGUAACACGUGGAUAACCUACCUAUAAGACUGGGAUAACUUCGGGAAACCGGAGCUAAUACCGGAUAAUAUUUUGAACCGCAUGGUUCAAAAGUAAAAGACGGUCUUGCUGUCACUUAUAGAUGGAUCCGCGCUGCAUUAGCUAGUUGGUAAGGUAACGGCUUACCAAGGCAACGAUGCAUAGCCGACCUGAGAGGGUGAUCGGCCACACUGGAACUGAGACACGGUCCAGACUCCUACGGGAGGCAGCAGUAGGGAAUCUUCCGCAAUGGGCGAAAGCCUGACGGAGCAACGCCGCGUGAGUGAUGAAGGUCUUCGGAUCGUAAAACUCUGUUAUUAGGGAAGAACAUAUGUGUAAGUAACUGUGCACAUCUUGACGGUACCUAAUCAGAAAGCCACGGCUAACUACGUG
rnacentral:rRNA from 1 species